rnacentral:lncRNA from 1 species
CGGGAGGCCGGCCCGGAACCGGCCAGGAUGCGAUGGGGGCGGGUUUGUGGGGCGCGUUCUCCCACCCGUUAGGGUCGAAUAAUGGCAGUGGGCGGGCCGGCGCAGUCUCGGCGCUCUCGUUCCCCAGAGGAGUUAAUCGUUUAUGGCAACUCCAGUGAGUGCCCCCAGCCCGGCACCCGGCACUCAGCACUCAGCACCCAGCACUCAGCACCCAGCUCAGCCUGCAGAGCCCUUGGGCAGAGUCGAGCGGGUCUCCCACGGAAACUCACUCAAGCGCGGUAGGCACAGAGUCAAAAGGGACGUUCUUCCAUGUUAACGAUUCAAACAAGAGGAGAAUCAAGCUUGCUCUGUGAGCAACAGCCACA